GAAUGCUGACAUAAGUAACGAUAAAGCGGGUGAAAAGCCCGCUCGCCGGAAGACCAAGGGUUCCUGUCCAACGUUAAUCGGGGCAGGGUGAGUCGACCCCUAAGGCGAGGCCGAAAGGCGUAGUCGAUGGGAAACGGGUUAAUAUUCCCGUACUUGGUGUUACUGCGAAGGGGGGACGGAGAAGGCUAUGUUGGCCGGGCGACGGUUGUCCCGGUUUAAGCGUAUAGGUGUGUGUUCCAGGUAAAUCCGGUUCACUUUAACACUGAGGCGUGAUGACGAGGCGCUACGGUGCUGAAGCAACAAAUGCCCUGCUUCCAGGAAAAGCCUCUAAGCAUCAGGUAACAUCAAAUCGUACCCCAAACCGACACAGGUGGUCAGGUAGAGAAUACCAAGGCGCUUGAGAGAACUCGGGUGAAGGAACUAGGCAAAAUGGUGCCGUAACUUCGGGAGAAGGCACGCUGACAU
rnacentral:rRNA from 1 species